rnacentral:rRNA from 1 species
UACGUAGGGUGCGAGCGUUGUCCGGAAUUACUGGGCGUAAAGAGCUCGUAGGUGGUUUGUCGCGUUGUUCGUGAAAACUCACAGCUUAACUGUGGGCGUGCGGGCGAUACGGGGCAGACUGGAGUACUGCAGGGGAGACUGGAAUUCCUGGUGUAGCGGUGAAAUGCGCAGAUAUCAGGAGGAACACCGGUGGCGAAGGCGGGGUCUCUGGGCCGAUACUGACGCUGAGGAGCGAAAGCGUGGGGAGCGAACAGGA